UUAAUACAGUUUCUAAUUAUUCUGAUGAUAAUUUGUUUUGCCUACGCCGUAGCCUCAGAGUCUAUUGUAUACCCUAACACAAACAUGAGCCCAAAACUUUAUUUUUUUGUCUUCAGAAAAGCAUUUUGGGCAAUUUUCGGCGAAUUUUCAAUGGAACAGCUCAAUCCAGAAAAUGGAUCUUGUAACGCUGAUCCCAACGCCUAUACUGACUUCGGAGAAGUAAGAUGCCCAGACAAUAGAGGGAAAUAUUUCAUGUUUCCACUGCUAGGAGCUUAUCACAUCUUCGUGAAUAUUUUGCUUCUAAAUUUAAUUAUUGCAAAAUUUAAUUCCAUCAUUGAGUCAGUUGAGGUCAUGGCCAGGCAGAUUUGGAAUCAACAGUUCACACAGAUAACAUUGAAAUAUUGCAAGGUCAUUUUCCCACCAGGACCAUUCCUCGUGUUGUGUUUUAUUUUAUGGAUCUGUAGGACACGAGAUUUUAAUAAAC
rnacentral:sRNA from 1 species